UCCUGCUCCAGUAGCACAAUGUGAACCACCAGCAAUGAGGGACGCCUAAGCAUCCGAUAAGAUAAGUCUUAUAAAAUGUAUAGGUUUAUGAUAGUUAAGACUGAGCUAACAGAUGAGAAUCAUAGUCAUUGGCCAAGCAGCUUUAAACCAAAUACAAGUUUCUGUGUAUUCACUCGGGUGGGCGGCUGGCGUAAAGCUCACAUGUGGCGGUGGGGCUCAGGCGGCUUUUAGCAGAAAGAUUUAUCGUAACAGUCAACCUUGAGUGUCUUUUUGUACCCUUCUCCAUGUUCUCUGACUUAUUAUUAUUUUUUUUUUUGACGGCGUCUUUAAGUGAAUCUGGAGUUUGCCAAUUUGGCUAGACUCGCUGCUCAGCAAGCCUGUCUCUGCUUCUGUAGCAUUGGGAUUGCAGUUGUGUGCUGCCCUGCUUGGCUUUUUUACUAGGAUAUAGGAGAUCUGAACUCAGGUUUGCAUGCUCUCGUGGCAAAUAGUUUACUACUGAGUCAUAUCCCCAGUUCCUCAGUCUUCAUGUUUGAUGCUUUUCGUAUCGUUUGCUAUAAUACAAUUAUGUGAUAAAAUAUUUUUUUAUUUUUAAUGCAUGUGUGUGCAUAUAUGCACGUGUGUGUGUCUGUGUGUGUGUGUGUGUGUGUGUGUGUGUAUGUGUAAAACACAAGACAUAGCCUUGAAUGUCAUCCUCAGAAACUCCAUCCAUCUUUUUCGAGAAAAUGUCUCUCAUUGGCCUGGAGCUUUCGUGGAGGCUAGACUGACAGCUAGUGAGCCCAGGGGUUCUUUCUGUCUCCUCCUCCCUAGCUUUGAAAUUACAGGUGUGCCUCAGUAAGGCAAGCACUUUACUUAUUGAGCCUCCUGUCCAUCUUCUACAUGGCAAAGACUAUGAACCACAAGUAAUUGUUACAGAGAUUCGUUCCUGCCAGCCUGGUCCCAACGCUGCUUCAGUCCCAAAUGAACACAUAGAUGCUAUAUUAAUUAUAAAACUGUUUGCCGGUUGCUUGGGCUUCUUAUUGGGCUAGCUCUGUCGUAAUUAUUAACCCAUUUCUAUUAAUCUAUGUAUUUCCACAUGGUCUUAUCUUACUGGAGAACACCUGGUGUGUCCUUUCUUUCCGGUCUCACAGGCAUCUGUUUCUGCCUACCUUUCCCAGAAUUCUCAUCUCUGAGUUCCACCUAUCUUCCUGCCUUAUUGGCCUACAGUGUUUUAUUCAUCAACCAAUAAGAGAGACAUAUAUACAGAAGGACUGCCCCCAUCAAGUAAUAAUUUAUCUAAACUUUCAACUUUCUCUAGGCAAGGGACUUUCACUGUAUGUGUCCCCAAAUCCCUGGACACAUACUGAACUCUUUUUAGCUAGCUCCUGUGGCAGCUAGAGUUGAGGCUGUGGACUUCUGCAACAGAGUAGUGGGUGGCUGAUGAACUGUGGGUGAGAAGGCUGCCAUCUACCUAGCAAUUGCUUUUAGAGUUUUGUCUUCUACCAAUCGCCUAAGACCAAGUGGGCAUGGUCAAGUCUCUCAGAGAUGCUGUAUUUCUGUUCAUACUUCUGAUGGCUACCUACUUUGAUACCCUAAUUUUUUUCUGCAUAAAUGAUUCAUACUAUGUCUAUGUGGCUAUUAUAAUUUAUAUCAAUGAAAAUUAACACUUGUUUUGAUGAUUCUGGUCUCUUUGUUUUGUGUCUUUAUUUGUUGUACAGAUAUUUUUUUAACCCUUAGAACUUUAGAAGACAGAUUGCUUUCAAGCAACACAUGUGAUCCCAUGUUUUCUGUAUGCUAACAGAAUCAAGAAAUCAGAGUAGGAGAGGAAGCGUACUGAGCAAAUCUCAGCUGACUGGGAGAAUCGUUCUGCUCUGGCUAGAUCAUAUUCACCCUCAUUUCACCUAGGAGUCUCCUGGAGCUGCUGAGCAAGUCGUUUGCCAAAUUUCAGGAAUUCUAGAGCACGGAUGCCCCAUGAAGAACACGGACACACAGGUACCUCUGAAUGGGACCUCAUGGGAGCUAUGUGGCAGCUAAAGAGGAAUCUCAUUCCAAUCAUUGAAGUAAUUGCUCAUCUAUCGGGGGUCAUUGUAUGGAAUCAAAAUUUUGUGGAGUCUUUUCUGAGAAAACUGGCUUCUAGGAUGUCUACCUUGAAAAACUCUCACCACGUAACUGAGGGGGUAGGUGGAAACUCUCACCACUUAUCUGUCCCCACCCUGUCUUACUGCUGUUGGGGAACCUCUCAGGAAGUGGCAACAUAAAGCAGAUUCCAGGCCUGGCAGCCAACUCAUCAGUCCUUCUGAUACCCCUGGAGGUAGGCAGGCAGUGAGUGCCAUUGCUUGUUUGUAGACAGAAAACCGAGGUAUAGAGAGUAUAAGAGACAAUGACAACACAGCAACUAACUGGCAGAAAUAGAAAGACAAUCCCUGUUGGGUGCUUGUGUCUGUCUCAUCAUCAUAGACUUCUUUUUGUUGGGAAGGU